rnacentral:snRNA from 1 species
GUGUUUGCUUCGGCAGCACACACACUAAAAUUGGAACCACACCAAGAAGAUUAGCAUGGCCCCUGCAUAAGGAUGACCAGCAAAUUUGUGAAGUGUUCCAUUUAAAA